rnacentral:tRNA from 1 species
GGGGCUAUAGCUCAGUGGGAGGCGCUUGUGGCAUGCAAGAGGUCGACGGUUCGAUCCCGUCUAGCUCCACCA